GUCGAACGGUAGAGGGGGCAACCCCUCGAGAGUGGCGAACGGGUGAGUAAUAUAUCGGAACGUGCCCAGUCGUGGGGGAUAACGUAGCGAAAGUUACGCUAAUACCGCAUACGAUCUACGGAUGAAAGCGGGGGACUCGCAAGAGCCUCGCGCGAUUGGAGCGGCCGAUAUCAGAUUAGGUAGUUGGUGGGGUAAAGGCUCACCAAGCCAACGAUCUGUAGCUGGUCUGAGAGGACGACCAGCCACACUGGAACUGAGACACGGUCCAGACUCCUACGGGAGGCAGCAGUGGGGAAUUUUGGACAAUGGACGCAAGUCUGAUCCAGCCAUUCCGCGUGCAGGAUGAAGGCCCUCGGGUUGUAAACUGCUUUUGUGCGGAACGAAAAGGUCUCUCUUAAUACGAGGGGCUCAUGACGGUACCGUAAGAAUAAGCACCGGCUAACUACGUGCCAGCAGCCGCGGUAAUACGUAGGGUGCAAGCGUUAAUCGGAAUUACUGGGCGUAAAGCGUGCGCAGGCGGUUAUGUAAGACAGAGGUGAAAUCCCCGGGCUCAACCUGGGAACUGCCUUUGUGACUGCAUAGCUAGAGUACGGUAGAGGGGGAUGGAAUUCCGCGUGUAGCAGUGAAAUGCGUAGAUAUGCGGAGGAACACCGAUGGCGAAGGCAAUCCCCUGGACCUGUACUGACGCUCAUGCACGAAAGCGUGGGGAGCAAACAGGAUUAGAUACCCUGGUAGUCCACGCCCUAAACG
rnacentral:rRNA from 1 species